GCCGGGGUCUCCUAGCCUGGCCAUGGAGCGAGGCUCAUAAUCUCGUCCCCGCGGGUUCAAAUCCCGCCCCCGGCA
rnacentral:tRNA from 5 species